rnacentral:rRNA from 1 species
UAGUGAACCAGUACCGUGAGGGAAAGGCGAAAAGAACCCCGGCGAGGGGAGUGAAAAAGAACCUGAAACCGUGUACGUACAAGCAGUGGGAGCCCCACCACUAAGCCAGUGGUGAACUCCACAUACGCAUCCUUUGCUGAGGAUACGGUUAACGGAGCGCAAGCGACGUUCAACCUCAAAAGAAGCAGAGGGGGCUUAGUGGUGGGGUGACUGCGUACCUUUUGUAUAAUGGGUCAGCGACUUAUAUUCUGUAGCAAGGUUAACCGUAUAGGGGAGCCGGAGGGAAACCGAGUCUUAA